rnacentral:rRNA from 1 species
UGGGGAAUAUUGCACAAUGGGCGAAAGCCUGAUGCAGCGACGCCGCGUGAGGGAUGACGGCCCUCGGGUUGUAAACCUCUUUCGGCAGGGACGAAGCGCAAGUGACGGUACCUGCAGAAGAAGUCCCGGCUAACUACGUGCCAGCAGCCGCGGUAAGACGUAGGGGACGAGCGUUGUCCGGAUUCAUUGGGCGUAAAGCGCGCGUAGGCGGCUAUGCAAGUCGGUUGUGAAAUCCCGGGGCUCAACCCCGGGACUGCGUCCGAUACUGCAUGGCUAGAGGUAGGUAGGGGAGAUCGGAAUUCCUGGUGUAGCGGUGAAAUGCGCAGAUAUCAGGAGGAACACCGGUGGCGAAGGCGGAUCUCUGGGCCUUACCUGACGCUCAGGCGCGAAAGCUAGGGGAGCGAACAGGAUUAGAUACCCCCGUAGUCC